rnacentral:rRNA from 1 species
UACGUAGGGUGCGAGCGUUGUCCGGAAUUACUGGGCGUAAAGCGUGCGUAGGCGGUUCGCUGUGUCCGAUGUGAAAGCCCCGGGCUUAACCUGGGAAUGGCAUUGGAAACUGGCGGGCUUGAGUGCGGCAGAGGGGGGUGGAAUUCCGCGUGUAGCAGUGAAAUGCGUAGAGAUGCGGAGGAACACCGAUGGCGAAGGCAGCCCCCUGGGCUGACACUGACGCUCAGGCACGAAAGCGUGGGGAGCAAACAGG